rnacentral:tRNA from 1 species
GCGAGAGUGGCGGAACUGGCAGACGCGCUAGAUUUAGGAUCUAGUGGGUAAAACCGUGCGGGUUCGAGUCCCGCCUCUCGCACCA